rnacentral:rRNA from 1 species
UGUUAAUUUUUAUAUACAAUGCUACGGUAUUUAUAUAAUAUUAACAUAAUUCAUAUUACUUUUUAGUAUAUGAAACUUUACUUUGAGAAAAUUAGAGUGCUUAAAGCAGGCUAUUGCCUUGAAUACUCCAGCAUGGAAUAAUAUUAAGGAUUUUUAUUCUUCUUAUUGGUUCUAGAAUAAAAAUAAUGAUUAAUAGGGACAGUUGGGGGCAUUUGUAUUUAACAGUCAGAGGUGAAAUUCUUAGAUUUGUUAAAGACAAACUACUGCGAAAGCAUUUGCCAAGGAUGUUUUCAUUAAUCAAGAACGAAAGUUAGGGGAUCGAAGACGAUCAGAUACCGUCGUAGUCUUAACCAUAAACUAUGCCAACUAGAGAUUGGAGGUUGUU